rnacentral:tRNA from 1 species
CGGGAUAGCUCAGCCUGGUAGAGCAAAGGACUGAAAAUCCUCGUGUC